UACGUAGGUGGCAAGCGUUGUCCGGAUUUAUUGGGUUUAAAGGGUGCGUAGGUGGCCCUGUAAGUCAGUGGUGAAAUAUCUCAGCUUAACUGAGAGGGUGCCAUUGAUACUGCAGGGCUUGAGUACAGAUGAGGUAGGCGGAAUUGACGGUGUAGCGGUGAAAUGCAUAGAUAUCGUCAAGAACACCGAUAGCGAAGGCAGCUUACCAAGCUGUAACUGACACUGAGGCACGAAAGCGUGGGGAUCAAACAGG
rnacentral:rRNA from 1 species